GAUGAAGAACGUAGCGAAAUGCGAUAAGUAGUGUGAAUUGCAGAAUUCAGUGAAUCAUCGAAUCUUUGAACGCACAUUGCGCCCUUUGGUAUUCCUUAGGGCAUGCCUGUUCGAGCGUCAUUUACACCUUCAAGCUCUGCUUGGUGUUGGGCGUCUGUCCUGCCCCUCGGGGCGUGGACUCGCCUUAAAUCUAUUGGCGGCCGGUACCGUGGCUUUGAGCGCAGCACAUCAGCGACCUCAUCGCCGGAGCGUAUCGACUCCCAGAAGCCCAUUUUCUAUGUUUUGACCUCGGAUCAGGUAGGGAUACCCGCUGAACUUAAGCAUAUCAAUAAGCGGAGGA
rnacentral:misc_RNA from 1 species